rnacentral:lncRNA from 1 species
GAAGGUUGCAAGAAAUACCUUAUUUCAUNAUGCAGGUUGGCUACCAAUUUGUGGGCAAGUUCCAAAGUUCUGUGACCGUGUUACAGGAGCUGUAAUUGCUGGCUUUUUGGCUGCAGUUAUAUAUCUUCUCAUUUUUCUCUACUCCCUUCACAACUUCCUCAAUCUUUUCAGCCUUAAAUCUUAGGCACCUCUUCUCUUACGAACUUGCCUUUUAUUCUGUGGGAACAUUGCCACUUUUACCUAGAAGCACUAGUAAUUUCGUAUGAUUUUCUACCUAUUGUUGUUAAUGGUUAUUAUGGGCAUUUUUGGGAUGAUGUACUGGAAAUAUAAUUAUAUGAGACAAAAAGAAUGCACACGAAAUAAUUUUAUGUUUUUCUUUUCAAUAUUGUUCAGUGCAGUAUAUCAAAAUUACUAUUUGUCGUUCAAAAUCAUUUUAUUGUAUUAAUCAAGGUUAAAUGCACGAACAGUAAUAAACUUUACCUCAUGUAUCAAAAUCAUCUAUGAACUCACACAUGUACCAAAAUUAUAUGUGAACUCAGAUAUUGUAUCGCACUCAUGUAUGGAUUAACUUCCUUUAGCCGAAGCUAAUGAAUAAUCCACGUGGAAAACAAAGUGUCUAGUGA